rnacentral:tRNA from 1 species
GAUGCUUUGGUGUAGCCGGUGAUCACGAUAGUCUCCAGUUCGAUCCCGGGAUGCGUCA